rnacentral:rRNA from 1 species
GAUGAACGCUAGCGGCAGGCUUAAUACAUGCAAGUCGUGGGGCAGCAUGAGUAGCAAUACUUGAUGGCGACCGGCAAACGGGUGAGGAACACGUACACAACCUUCCUUCAAGCGGGGAAUAGCCCAGAGAAAUUUGGAUUAAUACCCCAUAAUAUAUUUGAUAAGGCAUCUUAUUAAUAUUAAAGCUUCGGCACUUGAUGAUGGGUGUGCGGCUGAUUAGAUAGUUGGCGGGGUAACGGCCCACCAAGUCUACGAUCAGUAGCUGAUGUGAGAGCAUGAUCAGCCACACGGGCACUGAGACACGGGCCCGACUCCUACGGGAGGCAGCAGUAAGGAAUAUUGGACAAUGGACGAAAGUCUGAUCCAGCCAUGCCGCGUGAAGGAUUAAGGUCCUCUGGAUUGUAAACUUCUUUAUAUGGGACGAAAAAGGGCAUUCUUGUUCACUUGACGGUACCAUAUGAAUAAGCACGGCUAACUCCGUGCCAG